AAGACACACUCACUUCAAUAGUAAAAUUGGAACAAUAUGGAGAAGCUUGGCUUGGUCAUGCACCAGGACAACACACAAAUUUAUGAAAUGGUCAAUGUUUUA